rnacentral:tRNA from 1 species
GAAGGUAUAGCGCAGUGGUAGAGUGCUUGCUUGUCAUGUACAAGGUCCUGGAUUCAGUCCCCAGUACCUCCA